GCCGUUAGGAUUAAGACACGAAGGUUCUGCCCUCACAGAUGAUAUUCGUUUCUUAUAAAAGGGGUGGAUGGAACCAGCCAGACUCUUUUGGCCCUUCCAUCCCUUCCACUACAUGAAGACACAGCAUUUAUCCCCUCUGGACACAGCAGCAAAGUGUCAUCUUGGAAGCAGAGAGCAGCCCUCACCAGACAGUGAACUGAUACUGAACUUCUGAGCCUGCAGAACUGAAAAGCUCCCUUUGGGAUCCCUGGCCUACUGCAGGACUCAGGUUUGAUUUCCCAGCCUUGUUGCUGGUCCAAGUCUUCAUGUCCUGUUUUGAGAGCUACUCCUGUCAAAGAAAACACUUUUUAAAAAUAAUUUGCUGUAAUCCCAGCACUUUGGGAGGCCAAGGUGGGUGGAUCACAAGGUCAGGAGUUCGAGACCAGCCUGGCCAAUAUGGUAAAACCCCCUCUCUACUAAAAAUGCAAAAAUUAGCCGGGUGUGGUGGUUCACACCUGUAGUCCCAGCUACUUGGGAGGCUGAGGCAGAAGAAUUGCUUGAACCUGGGAGGCGAAGGUUUCAGCGAGCCGAGAUCAUGCCACUGCUCUCCAGCCAGGGCGACAGAGCAGGACUCUGUCUCAAAAAAUAAAUAAAUAAAUAAAUAAAUUGCACAAAGGCAUUGUUUGGUGGUUUUGCAGUCUUUGCAGUAUCCUUGCAGAUCACAUUUCUGAUAUUGGCAUUUGCUCUCAGGACAACCUCUGUUUUAUUUUACGAUCCUUAGUUCUCUAGCUGUUUGCACACAUGAUUUUUUUCAGGUAUCUGGGAAGAUCCCUAUUUUGAUUUGCCUGAUA
rnacentral:lncRNA from 1 species